AGGUUGGAUGAACUAUAUACUGUAAAUAUGCGGCUGCGUCACAAUUUGAGCGGAAGUCCCAGUGACAAGAUUGAACAAUAGCAGCUGCUGCAAGAUUCGCAAAUCUAUUAGCAUAAAACAGAUAAAAGUAAACUUUUGUUGACGAUGUUGUCAACAAGCAGCAGCAAAAGCAGCAGAAACAGCAGCAACGACAACAAACAACAACAAUCAGCAAACAAAUGACAAUAACGACUGCAAAUUGCACGGCUUUUGCUUUUGGGAAUGACACAAGGAGGAGGAAAAUACAAAAAUGUUGUGUGUGGUUUAACAAAGUUGGGCUUAUCAUGCGUAUAAAUUGAAUUGCAAUUGCAGAGAUGAGAAAGCGAGAAUAUCUACUUCGUUAUUUGCACUUUGCGUAAUUACACUUUGAAUAACCCGAAUCUAAAAAAGAAAACAAAAAAGACAACUGCAACGAAAUACCAUUUGUUUCCGGUUUAGCUUGCAUUCAACGACAAAACGCCCAUUCAGCAACUCGACACUGGCUGAUAAAUGGAGUAUUCGAGUUUUUAAAGACGAUGAAAUUGCUGUGGACAGCGGCAAAAUUUCUUCUCAAAGCACCGAUGGAAACGUCUUGUCUAACAGUCGACAGAGCUGACCACACUUGCUGCAUUGUUCUGCGAAAAUCAAGACGUUGCAAUUGUUUGUUCCCGGAAGUUAGUUAGAACUUCGUGCAACAGUAGAUGAGAACCACACGUGACUUGGCCGAAACUUUGGCGAAUGUCUUACAAGACCAACUUGCAGCUGGCAACUGACAAGCUGCCCACGAGAAAGUUUAAGCAGCAUACUUUAGUUCAUUUUGAAGAAAGAGAUUUUUCUCAUAUGUUAUCAAAAAAUGGAAAUUGUAUUCAUAUCUCAAUAUUCUGCCAGCAAAAAGCUUAAAGAUCUCUCUUUAAGAAAUGAAACUAACAAAAAUCAGGUCAUGAAAAGGAAAAUGUGCAAAAGAGAAAACAAAUGAAAGAUUGCUUCAACCUAAAUGCCAUACUUAAUCCAAGGACAAGCACAACAGUUUAAUGAUAUACAAACACACCACCGAACGCACACAAUUUGAGAUACUGAAGAUAGCGACAUACUUAAUUGUGUUACCAGUAAAGUCUGCAGGAAGUCAAGCUCUUGUGUUGAGCCUUCCUUCAGCCGAGAAUGGCAUCGCAGACCAAUCCAAUUAAAUUAGUGUUAAUCUCAGGAUUUGUAAGCUUUGAAUUAAUUAUCUUUCAACUUGACUCUGGUGGUUUUUUGACAACUAUUGGAUCAAUCCCAUUCCGUUUAAGAUGUUGUUAAUCAUAAAAUAUUUAUUUAAAUAAAUUGAGUGGUUUACUCAUUACAUGGUAAAGCAUAAAAUUAAAAUUAAUAUAAGAU